AUUGAACGCUAGCGGCAUGCUUAACACAUGCAAGUCGAACGGUAACAGGCAGAGCUUGCUCUGCGCUGACGAGUGGCGGACGGGUGAGUAAUGCUUAGGAAUCUGCCCAGUAGCGGGGGAUAGCUCGGAGAAAUCCGAAUUAAUACCGCAUACGCCCUACGGGGGAAAGCAGGGGAUCUUCGGACCUUGCACUAUUGGAUGAGCCUAAGUCAGAUUAGCUUGUUGGUGGGGUAACGGCCUACCGAGGCGACGAUCUGUAGCUGGUCUGAGAGGACGAUCAGCCACACUGGAACUGAGACACGGUCCAGACUCCUACGGGAGGCAGCAGUGGGGAAUAUUGCACAAUGGGCGCAAGCCUGAUGCAGCAAUGCCGCGUGUGUGAAGAAGGCCUGCGGGUUGUAAAGCACUUUCAAUAGUGAGGAAAAGUUGUAGGUUAAUACCCUACAGCCCUGACGUUAACUAUAGAAGAAGC
rnacentral:rRNA from 1 species